UCUUCCAUAUUCACCAACUUGACUCUGAUCAAUAUUAGCUCUUCUUCAUAAGUUCUGUUUUUGCAUCAAGGUUCUCUGAUUUGAUUCAUAUACUAAGGUAAGCUCAAAGAAAAACACACACACACACACAAACAUAAUGAGAAUAGAAAAGGGAAAUGUUUCUCGCAACUUAUCCACAAACGUGAUAACAAUUUACCUGCAUGUUUAAUAGAAUUUGCUAACAUUUUGUUUGCUUCUUUGCUAAGUUGGUUCCUAGUUCUUGAGCGACUUUUGUGCCAUUUGAAUUUCUGGCCAAUUAGUUUGGAAACAUCUCGUAUUCAGUCUUUUUCUUCCUUAUAAGUGUGAUGGUAGGUAUGUAAGGUUUACACAUCCAUAAAAAUUUGAUUUCUAGUUUCGGGUUUAUGUUUAUUAUUGCCUUUCUGCAUUAUGGCUUUUCCGGUUAUGGUCUUCUAUCCUUGAACUUUUCUGUAAAUCAGGGAGAAACAGAUCAUGAUUACAAGUGUACUAGACAGCUAGAAAUGCUACAUCCUUGUCUCCUCUAUCUAUCCAUCCAAAUUACACAGAGACACAUAUAUGCGAUAUGUAACAUGAAAUUUUUUCACCUUUGCAUUUACUAGGUUAUUUUUCCUUUUUUUUCUUUUUUAAACAUCAUAUCCUUGGUUGGUUAGAUUUCUUUUCAAGAUCAUUCUUGGAGUAGUUAUCUUUUGAGAUCCAAAAUUUUCUUCUAAGCUUGUAUAUCUGGUUCUAAAGGUUAUUGAUUCCUAUCUUGUGUUUGCCUCAUAUGUGGGUGAUUUACUGACUUCCACCUGUUUUUUUUGCAUCAUUUCUAACUUGAUCAAUUUCUGUCAUAAAUGAAGAAUCUCAAGAAUUUCCACAUGUCGUCACGGCCACCCCACCUCCACCAGGACCCAAAAACCACUUGACGACUUCAAUCUGCCCUCUAAACGCCAAAGGUUUGAUAACAAGCAGAGCACUAAUGACCUUAACCAAGGGGACAACUUGCCACAAUCAUCAUUGUCAUCAAAGAAGCAACCUCUCUGUGGCAACGCUACUGCUUCAGGACAAUCAACUCUAAAGAAAUCUUAUAUCCUUGAUUGUUGCAUGGAAGAUUGCCAGAACCCCCUACAGGAAAAAGUUCAAGUGAAUUCAUCUCCUAAGCCUGAUCUGAACACCACCGACUCUAGCUCAAAUGUGUAACUUGGACAUUAAUCUUUUUCUUCAGCAACUUUGUCUUCAGUGGUUAUUUAGCUGCUAUAAAGUUUUGUGAAAUAAUGUAGUGUGGUCUUCACACCACAUGAACUAGUUUUAUGGGGAACAAGGACCUGUACUUUUAAGAAUAAAACUUUUUUGUCGAUGUCCAAUAGUUUAAGAAUAUUAACAAGCCUCAACUUUCAGAAUUUCCUACACUAGCCAUCCUUCUACAAAAUGUUUCUAAGCAGACAGACAAAAUGCAAUUUCUUUUCCUUUUUCUAAGUUUGGAUGGUUGACACUGAGUGGUCCAAUCCAUAAGUAUUAAAUUUCAGAAUUCAAAAGUUUUGUAUUCUGAACUAUCCCAUGCCUGAUUUAUUAAUAUAAUGUUUCAGUAUUGCAAUAUCCAGCGUUCAUGUACUUAAACCUCAAAAUCCAACCAAGAUUCAGGAUUAUUCACAUGUAAGCGUGUACAAGUAACAUAUUCUGACAAAUUUGACCGGGUCAAUGCAAAUUCAUUACUUACCUUAAACUUGUAAAUUCAUGUAUGUUCAGCUGACACGUUCUUUUGCCUUAUGGAUGAGCAUAAUUCCUAAGAUAAUGAGACAUUCCUAGAGAGACCUGUUUGUUAUGAAAUAAUAUUUUAAAGGCAGGUGCUGUUGGAAUUUUACAAUGUAGCAAGUCUUUCUGAACAUUGUUCUUUGCUGAAGCUUUGAAAUGGAAUCUCUUUAGCAACAAAGCUUUAUUAGAGCAAGGAAAGAGAUUAAAUCACCACAAGGCCCAUAAAAUCAAUGUCAAC
rnacentral:lncRNA from 1 species